GAGCCUACGGGAGGCAGCAGUGGGGGAUAUUGCACAAUGGGGGGAACCCUGAUGCAGCGACGCCGCGUGGGCGAUGGAGCGCCUCGGCGCGUAAAGCCCUAUCAGCAGGGAAGAAGAUGACGGUACCUGACUAAGAAGCCCCGGCUAAAUACGUGCCAGCAGCCGCGGUAAUACGUAUGGGGCAAGCGUUAUCCGGAUUUACUGGGUGUAAAGGGAGCGUAGACGGCAGAGCAAGUCUGAAGUGAAAGCCCGCGGCCCAACUGCGGGACUGCUUUGGAAACUGCCCGGCUAGAGUGCUGGAGAGG
rnacentral:rRNA from 1 species